CCUACGGGUGGCAGCAGUGGGGAAUAUUGCACAAUGGGGGAAACCCUGAUGCAGCGACGCCGCGUGAGUGAAGAAGUAUUUCGGUACGUAAAGCUCUAUCAGCAGGGAAGAAAAUGACGGUACCUGACUAAGAAGCCCCGGCUAACUACGUGCCAGCAGCCGCGGUAAUACGUAGGGGGCAAGCGUUAUCCGGAUUUACUAGGUGUAAAGGGAGCGUAGACGGCAGCGCAAGUCUGGAGUGAAAUCCCAUGGCUUAACCAUGGAACUGCUUUGGAAACUGUGCAGCUAGAGUGCAGGAGAGGUAAGCGGAAUUCCUAGGGUAGCGGUGAAAUGCGUAGAUAUUAGGAGGAACACCAGUGGCGAAGGCGGCUUACUGGACUGUAACUGACGUUGAGGCUCGAAAGCGUGGGGAGCAAACAGGAUUAGAUACCCGAGUAGUC
rnacentral:rRNA from 1 species